rnacentral:lncRNA from 1 species
ACGCACGCCCUUCUCUCGUGCCGCCGCGGUCGUUCCCGCGUACACCAGCAGCGCCGUCACUUCGGCAGAGAUGCUGCGGGCCUGUCAGUUAUCCGGCGUGACCGUCGCGGCCCAGAGUUGUCUGUGUGGGAAGUUUGUCCUCCGCCCACUACGACCAUGCCGUAGAUACUCCACUUCAAGCAGUUCUGGAUUCAGUCUGGUCCACUAAAAAUCUCCAGCGUAUCAGAGGUGAUGACAGACUCUGAACUGCCCAUGGCACAGACCCAGGAAACGAACGGGGAUACUCCAGCUUCAGCAGCAGGUGAUCCGGCCCCUGAGGUUGAGCAUGAGGACACUAUAAACACCGAAUGUCCCAACACUGAUGAAGGAACAUCU